rnacentral:rRNA from 1 species
CCUACGGGAGGCAGCAGUGGGGAAUAUUGGGCAAUGGGCGGAAUCCUGACCCAGCAACGCCGCGUGCAGGACGAAGGCUUUCGGGUUGUAAACUUGUUUUCUCAGGGACGAAGAAAGUGACGGUACCUGAGGAAUAAGCCACGGCUAACUACGUGCCAGCAGCCGCGGUAAUACGUAGGUGGCAAGCGUUAUCCGGAUUUAUUGGGUGUAAGGGGCGUGUAGGCGGGAGCGCAAGUCAGAUGUGAAAACCCAGGGCUCAACACUGAGCCUGCAUUUGAAACUGUGGUUCUUGAGUGCUGGAGCGGCAAUCGGAAUGUCGAGUGUAGCGGUGAAAUGCGUAGAUAUACGGAGGAACACCAGUGGCGAAGGCGGAUUGCUGGACAGGAACUGACGCUGAGGCGCGAAAGCGUGGGGAGCAAACAGGAUUAGAUACCCGGGUAGUC